rnacentral:ribozyme from 1 species
UGCCCAGCAACUUCUAUUCCUACCUCCUCGUAGUACUAGCCGGGGUACGAGUAACCUUAGGAAGAUCGGGUAACUAACCCCGGCUUUGGUCGUAUGCUGACAGGGAAGG